rnacentral:rRNA from 1 species
AAGUCGAACGAGGUCCAACCAGUGGCAACACUGGGGAAGACCGAGUGGCGAACGGGUGAGUAACACGUGAGCAACCUGCCCCGAAGACUGGGAUAACGACCGGAAACGGUCGCUAAUACCGGAUGUCCCCACCGGAUCGCAUGGUCUGGUGAGGAAAUGAAUUUCGCUUCGGGAGGGACUCGCGGGCUAUCAGCUUGUUGGCGGGGUAACGGCCCACCAAGGCUACAACGGCUAGCUGGUCUGAGAGGACGACCAGCCACACUGGGACUGAGACACGGCCCAGACUCCUACGGGAGGCAGCAGUGGGGAAUCUUGCGCAAUGGGCGAAAGCCUGACGCAGCAACGCCGCGUGCGGGAUGAAGGCCUUCGGGUUGUAAACCGCUUUCAGCAGGAACGAAAUUGACGGUACCUGCAGAAGAAGCACCGGCCAACUACGUGCCAGCAGCCGCGGUAAUACGUAGGGUGCAAGCGUUGUCCGGAUUUAUUGGGCGUAAAGAGCUCGUAGGCGGCUUGGCAAGUCAGGUGUGAAAACUUCAGGCUCAACCUGGAGAUGCCAUCUGAGACUGCUAUGGCUAGAGUCUGGUAGGGGAGCACGGAAUUCCUGGUGUAGCGGUGAAAUGCGCAGAUAUCAGGAGGAACACCGGUGGCGAAGGCGGUGCUCUGGGCCAGUACUGACGCUGAGGAGCGAAAGCGUGGGUAGCAAACAGGAUUAGAUACCCUGGUAGUCCACGCCGUAAACGUUGGGUACUAGGUGUGGGACCUUUAUCACGGGUUCCGUGCCGCAGCUAACGCAUUAAGUACCC